rnacentral:miRNA from 1 species
ACCCUGUAGAUCCGAGUUUGUA